ACGAAGGGUGCUAGCGUUGUUCGGAAUUAUUGGGCGUAAAGCGUGCGUAGGCGGCAUGGUAAGUCAGCUGUGAAAGCCCAGGGCUCAACCCUGGAAUUGCAGUUGAAACUGCCAAGCUAGAGUAUGGCGGGGGAUAGUGGAAUUCUUAGUGUAGGGGUGAAAUCCGUAGAUAUUAAGAGGAACACCAGUGGCGAAGGCGACUAUCUACACCAUUACUGACGCUGAGGUACGAAAGCGUGGGGAGCAAACAGG
rnacentral:rRNA from 1 species